GACGAACGCUGGCGGCGUGCCUAAUACAUGCAAGUUGAGCGCUGAAGGUUGGUACUUGUACCAACUGGAUGAGCAGCGAACGGGUGAGUAACGCGUGGGGAAUCUGCCUUUGAGCGGGGGACAACAUUUGGAAACGAAUGCUAAUACCGCAUAAAAACUUUAAACACAAGUUUUAAGUUUGAAAGAUGCAAUUGCAUCACUCAAAGAUGAUCCCGCGUUGUAUUAGCUAGUUGGUGAGGUAAAGGCUCACCAAGGCGAUGAUACAUAGCCGACCUGAGAGGGUGAUCGGCCACAUUGGGACUGGGACACGGCCCAAACUCCUACGGGAGGCAGCAGUAGGGAAUCUUCGGCAAUGGACGAAAGUCUUACCGAGCAACGCCGCGUGAGUGAAGAAGGUUUUCGGAUCGUAAAACUCUGUUGGUAGAGAAGAACGUUGGUGAGAGUGGAAAGCUCAUCAAGUGACGGUAACUACCCAGAAAGGGACGGCUAACUACGUG
rnacentral:rRNA from 1 species